rnacentral:lncRNA from 1 species
UGCAAACUAGAUAACAACAGAAUAGACCACACUCGAAAUGCUAGCUAAAAUACGUAAAAAGAUGCACAAAGUAAACAAGAGAGCGGGAGGUACCAACUCCCGGUGGAAAAACCUGAAAGUGUGCUUUGAUGCGCCCAAGUUUUCCUGAAGCAUAGCAGAACGUGCAGCUCUAUUGCGUCCUGCCGCGAGUCUGAACGAGAGUUGCCAGAGAUCCUCACCGGUAAAAUAGGCACCUGUCCAAAAAAAUAGAACACACCCACAAAAGCAGAGGAGAGACUAAAAAGGAAAAGUGCAGGGGUUGCCAGAAAAAUUUCUGGCGGAAACAAAAAUUCCAGACCUCUGGACAGCACCGAGAUCUGCUGUGGGUAAGCAGUGAGAAAAAUGAGGUGGCUAAGUGGACAGUGUAAAAUGAAAGUGACCAGGGGAAUAUUCCGGGAGUACCAAGUUGGUCGGAA